AUGAACGCUAGCGACAGGCUUAACACAUGCAAGUCGAGGGGCAGCGGGGGUAGCAAUACCCGCCGGCGACCGGCGCACGGGUGAGUAACGCGUAUGCAACUUACCUAUCAGAGGGGGAUAACCCGGCGAAAGUCGGACUAAUACCGCAUGAAGCAGGGGCCCCGCAUGGGGAUAUUUGCUAAAGAUUCAUCGCUGAUAGAUAGGCAUGCGUUCCAUUAGGCAGUUGGCGGGGUAACGGCCCACCAAACCGACGAUGGAUAGGGGUUCUGAGAGGAAGGUCCCCCACAUUGGUACUGAGACACGGACCAAACUCCUACGGGAGGCAGCAGUGAGGAAUAUUGGUCAAUGGGCGUAAGCCUGAACCAGCCAAGUCGCGUGAGGGAUGAAGGUUCUAUGGAUCGUAAACCUCUUUUAUAAGGGAAUAAAGUGCGGGACGUGUCCCGUUUUGUAUGUACCUUAUGAAUAAGGAUCGGCUAACUCCGUGCCAGCAGCCGCGGUAAUACGGAGGAUCCGAGCGUUAUCCGGAUUUAUUGGGUUUAAAGGGUGCGUAGGCGGCCUUUUAAGUCAGCGGUGAAAGUCUGUGGCUCAACCAUAGAAUUGCCGUUGAAACUGGGGGGCUUGAGUAUGUUUGAGGCAGGCGGAAUGCGUGGUGUAGCGGUGAAAUGCUUAGAUAUCACGCAGAACCCCGAUUGCGAAGGCAGCCUGCCAAGCCAUGACUGACGCUGAUGCACGAAAGCGUGGGGAUCAAACAGGAUUAGAUACCCUGGUAGUCCACGCAGUAAACGAUGAUCACUAGCUGUUUGCGAUACAGUGUAAGCGGCACAGCGAAAGCGUUAAGUGAUCCACCUGGGGAGUACGCCGGCAACGGUGAAACUCAAAGGAAUUGACGGGGGCCCGCACAAGCGGAGGAACAUGUGGUUUAAUUCGAUGAUACGCGAGGAACCUUACCCGGGUUUGAACGCAUUCGGACCGAGGUGGAAACACCUUUUCUAGCAAUAGCCGUUUGCGAGGUGCUGCAUGGUUGUCGUCAGCUCGUGCCGUGAGGUGUCGGCUUAAGUGCCAUAACUAGCGCAACCCUUGCCACUAGUUACUAACAGGUAAAGCUGAGGACUCUGGUGGGACUGCCAGCGUAAGCUGCGAGGAAGGCGGGGAUGACGUCAAAUCAGCACGGCCCUUACAUCCGGGGCGACACACGUGUUACAAUGGCGUGGACAAAGGGAAGCCACCUGGCGACAGGGAGCGAAUCCCCAAACCACGUCUCAGUUCGGAUCGGAGUCUGCAACCCGACUCCGUGAAGCUGGAUUCGCUAGUAAUCGCGCAUCAGCCAUGGCGCGGUGAAUACGUUCCCGGGCCUUGUACACACCGCCCGUCAAGCCAUGGGAGCCGGGGGUACCUGAAGUCCGUAACCGCGAGGAUCGGCCUAGGGUAAAACUGGUGACUGGGGCU
rnacentral:rRNA from 1 species